GAUGAACGCUGGCGGCGUGCCUAAUACAUGCAAGUCGAGCGAACAGACGAGGCUCUUGCUCCUCUGACGAUAGGCGAGCGCGGGUGAAUCACACGAGGAUCACCCACCUAAAAGACUGGGAUAAUCUGGGGAAACCGGCGCUAACCGCGGAUAAUCUAUUGCACCGCAUGGUUCGAUAGAGAAAGACGGCUUUGCUGUCACUUAUAGAUGGAUCUGCGCCGCAUUAGCUAGUUGGGAGGGUAACGGCUUAUCACGGCGACGAUGCGUAGCCGAGCUGCCAGGGUGAUCGGCCACACUGGAACUGAGACACGGUCCAGACGCCUGCGGGAGGCAGCAGUAGGGAAUCUGCCGCAAUGGGCGAAAGCCUGACGGAGCAACGCCGCGUGAGUGAUGAAGGUCUUCGGAUCGUAAAACUCUGUUAUUAGGGAAGAACAAAUGUGUAAGUAACUAUGCACGUCUUGACGGUACCUAAUCAGAAAGCCACGGCUAACUACGUG
rnacentral:rRNA from 1 species